rfam:Cavia porcellus supercont2_123 genomic scaffold, whole genome shotgun sequence.
GAUGUAGUUCAGUGGCAGAAUGCCUGCCUGGCAAGCACAAGGUCCUGAGUUCGAUUUUCAGAAUC